GGGAGUUCGGAACCCGGAACGAGUGGGUCGGGGGAGAGACCGGACGUGGGAGCUCCACCUCGGGCAAAGGCUGCCACACAGUCGGUGCCGCGAAACUUUUCGUGGUGGGGGUGAAUAGAAUCUGGCGGAUAUUUCGUGAGAUAUUUUAGCUACAUGGAGGGUGCCCGGUUUUUCCCUGCCGAGGAUCGGAGCCUGUUGUCUGCAGCUGUCUCCUAAACCCGUCUCAUGCUGUUGGGAGACGAGAGCCGUACCGCAGCGGCUGCUGGUGGAUUUCUGGUGCUCUCACCGCUCCAACAGACUGAAGGCCAAGGGAGAACAGGGCUCAAAGGAGAUGGACACAGAGUCUAUAGAAAGAAGGCAAAGCUGCAUCAACUUCAUGGACCCUGUACAGAUUACAGAGGAGGAGGUUUUCGUUACUGUGAGACAAAACGGGGUGGAUAAAUCCCCAGGGCCUGACAAGGUGUUCACCAGGACCCUAUGAGAGGCAACCACAAAAACAAAGAAACACCACAGAACCCAGUUAAAGAAAAAACCCACACAACAAGACCAUCAAAUGUGCGAGAAAAAGAGCAGAUCACGCAAACAACAAAAAGAGAAAAAGUAACACUCAAAACAUUAACUAACAAACUGCAGAAUCCGCAAAAGUGAGUCCACGUACACAAGGUGCCGAGGCGAGUGAAGCCGGUCUAGGAGCCGAUGGCUGCAACCACCACUGUGUCGACGGUGGCAGCCACAGCCGCAGAUCCAGUCCUACGCUGAAGUGCCUCGAUCAAAUCACACAAAUAGUAAAUUGCAUUCAGCACUGAGGAUAAUAAUCAACAAACCACAGGCAAAAGUGAGUCCAAUGACACGAUCUGCUGAGGUGAUUGAACGUCUCAAUGUAAGACCCAAGACUUCCACUGAUAGCAGCAUCAGGGAGACAGGUAAAACAGAAGCCGAUGGUACUGAAAGAGAAAUUACAUGCAGUUCAGAAGAAGUUUAUCUAGGAAAGGGAGAGUAUCCAGUAGUUUUGUAAGCUGUCUGCAAGAUAUCGUUGUGAGUCACUGGUGUACUUAAUCAUUGUAACAGGAUACUAUAUGAUGCUGACAGUUGAACUACCACCCUGUGUUUACUGUAACAGGGUCUGAAUAAGAUGACUUGUUCAAGAAACUCACCACUGCUGACUGGGAAGUUGUAUCUGUGCUCUCCUGAUCUGAACUGUAUUUAAGCAGCAGACUGACCCCACUACACCCCCCACCCCCUAUGGAUCGAGCCACUGUUGUGGAAGCCUCCUGAUGGUCAGUGUGAGGCCGGGUGUAACUGGGGAAGCCAGUACUGUGUGCCCUCUCUCUUUUUGAUAGACUUCUUGACGGGGGAACCCCAGACAGACCGUGUUGGCAGGAACAUCUCUAACUUCAUCAUGCUGAGCACUGGUGCCUCCCCCACCCCCGGUUCUCAGUCUGCUGCUGUUGACAGUGCUGAUGCACGACUGUACUGUGAUUCUUCAGUGAACCUCAUUUCAGGGGACCUGGCCUGGGCUCAACGCAUAAGUGCAAUUAUGAAGAAACCAUGGCAAUGCCUUUACAUCCUUAGGAGUUUGAGAGGAAUCAGCAUGACAUUUAAUACGUUGACAAACUUCAAUAGGUGAGUGAUUGCAUCCCAUCCUCGUAUGGAAAACCAAUACUCUCAGUGCUCACACUAUCAGGUCCAGGAGCAGUUAUUAUUUUCUCCUUGUCAUUUGCAUAAUUUGUUGUCUUUUGCACCUUGUUUGUUUGUUCACCCUGUUGGAUGUGGCCUUUCAUUGAUUCUAAUAUGGUUCUUGGAUUUACUGAGUGUGCCACAGGAAAGCAAUUGU